GUAGGGUAGGGACCUGGGCUUGUGGUGUCCCAAAUGGUUGGGCAAAGCGAACUUUCAGUCGUCCAAUCCAAUAUCAGUCCUUUCAGGGUCUUCAGUCUUCGUCUUCUUCGAUCUCUCUCUCCCUCUCUCUCUCUCUUAGCCUGGCCUGGCCUGGCCUGCUCUGCUCGACUCUGUCUCUUCUGCACCGUCCUUCAAGGACUGCCACAAGUAAAAAACGAAGAAUGAAAUCCUAAAGGACAAAAGCAACUUCUUAACUGCACGUGUGACCUGUCACGUGUCAUUAUCAUCCCUCUGGUUCUAGUUUUUUUUUCUUUUCACACUGAUUAUUUCUUUACAUUUUUACUCACUUUUUUUCUUUGUUGAGUAAUGAACCUUUCUUUUUGGC
rnacentral:lncRNA from 1 species